AUUGAACGCUGGCGGCAUGCCUUACACAUGCAAGUCGAACGGCAGCGGGGACUUCGGUCCGCCGGCGAGUGGCGAACGGGUGAGUAAUGUAUCGGAACGUACCAUUCAGUGGGGGAUAACUAUCCGAAAGGAUAGCUAAUACCGCAUAUUCUGUGAGCAGGAAAGCAGGGGAUCGGAAGACCUUGCGCUGAUUGAGCGGCCGAUAUCAGAUUAGGUAGUUGGUGAGGUAACGGCUCACCAAGGCUACGAUCUGUAGCGGGUCUGAGAGGAUGAUCCGCCACACUGGGACUGAGACACGGCCCAGACUCCUACGGGAGGCAGCAGUGGGGAAUUUUGGACAAUGGGCGCAAGCCUGAUCCAGCCAUGCCGCGUGAGUGAAGAAGGCCUUCGGGUUGUAAAGCUCUUUCGGCCGGGAAGAAAUCGCAUCAGCUAAUACCUGGUGUGGAUGACGGUACCGGAAUAAGAAGCACCGGCUAACUACGUGCCAGCCGCCGCGGUAAUAC
rnacentral:rRNA from 1 species